rnacentral:lncRNA from 1 species
UUCCAUGCUGUGGAAGCUUUCUUCUUUCACUCUUCACAAUAAAUCUUGCUGCUGCUCACUCCUUGGGUCUGCACUACCUUUAUGAGCUGGAACACUUACCACGAUGGUCUGUGGUUUUGCUCCUAAAAUAAGGGAGACUACGAACCCACUGGAAGGAAGAAACUGUGGACACAUCUGAAGGAACAAACUCUGGACACACCAUCUUUAAGAACUGUAACACUCACUGCUAGGGUCUGCGGCUUCAUUCUUGAAGUCAGCGAGACCAAGAACCCACUGGAAGGAACCAAUUCUGGACACACCACGGCUAUCAGACUGUUCUCAGCCUGGGGAUCCAGCAUUUGUGAAAAUCACAGAAGAUCAUAUGAGAAGGCACCAUUUUAAUGAAAGAACAAGAAACCUGAAAUUCAAUAACAAAGCCUGAAGGCUAGAAAAGGUUAUGAAAUAGCCCAUGAUAAGCACAGGUGGAAAAUUGACACAAAGAGUUUUCUGCUAUGCCAAAUAAAUUUUGUUGUCUUUGUGUGUGUGUAUGCUGCGUAUCUUAAAACCAUAACAUUUUCACUGACAUUGAAUCAUCCUCCUCAGUAACUGAGGGAAACUUCCUUGGGAACCCACCUUAAAUUUUACCAUCUUUGGCAGCUUUUGAAAUGACUCUAUCUUCAAAUUCUUGAAUUUCCACAUUCUCUUCUCUGACUUUACCUUUGAUUAUUUUGCUCUCAGUAAAUCUGCAUCUCAGUCUUCCUCUUCUCAGUUCUAUCCUAGUGUACCAGCCCAUUAACCCCUGUUUGAUUUUAUUUGGCUCUCUUCCUCCAUGGGGCUACACGUAAGCCUCAUGCUCAUUGUAGUCCCUGUCUCUCUUCAACACUGGUAUCUUACCACCUCUCCAUAACUUCCCACUAUUUCUUUCUUGCCAAUCAUCAACCCUGUGUAAUAUCUACUGUCUUAUUUUCUUUGACGCUAGAAAUCAAGGCCCUGAUGGUCAAAGGCAUUAAACAAUCUAUGGGUUUGCCAUAAGUGCAUUAUGUGGUUUAUUAUUUUGCAGAUAUUUAAUGUGGUACAUGAUAAAAUGUUACUUUUUCUACUAAUCUUAUUUAUGUAGCCGAAAAUCUAGAAAAAUGUUUUUCUU